rnacentral:rRNA from 1 species
AGCUCCAAUAGCGUAUAUUAAAGUUGUUGCAGUUAAAAAGCUCGUAGUUGGAUUUCUGUUUUGAACGUUCGGUCCGUUCAUUGAUUUGAAUGUGUACUUGGAUGUUUGAUUCAUUUUUUGUGAGCGCCCUUGACUGGCAUUCAGUUGUCGGUUUCGCGGACUUGCAUCGUUUACUGUGAAAAAAUUAGAGUGUUUAAAGCAGGCGUUCGCCUUUGAAUACAUUAGCAUGGAAUAAUAAGAUACGACUUUGGUGGUCUAUUUUGUUGGUUUGCACACCAGAGUAAUGAUUAAUAGGGACAGUUGGGGGUAUUCAUAUUUCAGCGUCAGAGGUGAAAUUCUUGGAUCGCUGAAAGAUGAGCUUAGGCGAAAGCAUUUACCAUGGAUGUUUUCAUUAAUCAAG